CGUCACGCCCCUCCCAUGAUCUGUCAGAUUCAAGAUGGCUGCUGGGGACUACAGCGGUAGGCCUCCCUCCCUACAUUUCUCCUGCCCAGGGCCUUUGGGAAAUGGCCAGCCCAGCAACAGUGGUUAUUCAAUGCCUACGUCCAACGGUGGGUCCACUGGUGCGACCGGAGGGGUUCAGGGGCCUGCAAGGCGCCCCAACCCGCAGUCGGGGCCUGGCGGAGGCGAAAGCGCCGGUGUUGCAGCUGGAACUCAACCGACUGUGCAGAACUCGAUUCAGCAAGCGUCAGCUCAAAGCGCUGCGGCAAGGGGGGCCUCCGGAGCAACGGCUGCGAGUGUACCAGGAACCCAUUCCUCACUGUCGUCAGCACCACCGGCCGCUGAUGUUUUGGUUUACCGGGAGCCCGUGUACAACUGGCAGGCGACGAAAAGCACCGUAAAGGAACGGUUUGCUUUCCUGUUUAAUAACGAGGUUUUGAGUGACGUUCAUUUUCUGGUGGGGAAAGGUAUGGGAGUGCAACGAAUACCCGCACACAGAUUCGUUCUCGCUGUGGGCAGCGCAGUCUUCGAUGCCAUGUUCAACGGGGGUAUGGCGACCACCUCAACGGAAAUCGAUUUGCCAGAUGUCGAACCUGCAGCCUUUCUGGCAUUACUGAAGUUCCUGUACUCUGAUGAGGUCCAAAUAGGGCCUGAGACGGUGAUGACCACUCUGUACACAGCUAAGAAGUAUGCAGUGCCAGCCUUGGAGGCCCACUGUGUGGAAUUCCUCAAGAAGAACCUGCGGGCAGACAAUGCCUUCAUGCUGCUCACUCAGGCUCGACUUUUCGAUGAGCCCCAGCUUGCCAGCUUGUGUCUAGAGAACAUCGACAAGAAUACCGGAGAUGCGCUCGCAGCUGAGGGUUUCACUGACAUAGAUCUGGAUACUUUAGUGGCUGUGCUGGAGCGGGACACUCUGGGGGUGAGGGAGGUGCGUUUAUUUGUUGCGGCGGUACGCUGGUCAGAGGCAGAGGCCCACCGGCAGCAGCUACAGCCCACCCCAGAGAACAAACGCAGGGUCCUGGCCAAGGCCCUCGCCCUCAUCCGCUUCCCACUCAUGACUAUCGAGGAGUUUGCCGCAGGACCGGCCCAGUCCAGUAUCCUGACAGACAGUGAGGUGGUGAGUCUGUUCCUUCACUUCACUGUGAACCCAAAGCCCCGCGUAGAGUUCAUCGACCGGCCUCGCUGCUGCCUACGGGGGAAGGAGUGCAGCAUCACGCGCUUCGGACAGGUGGAGAGCCGCUGGGGCUACAGUGGGACCAGUGACCGUAUACGGUUUUCAGUGAACAGGAGGAUCUUCGUGGUGGGCUUUGGCCUCUACGGCUCCAUACACGGCCCCACAGACUACCAAGUCAACAUCCAGGCACUGCCCACCUUAACUAACCAAAUCAGUCAAUCAAUCAUAUUUGAUUUAUAUAGACAGAAUACAUUGGAACAAAGACUCCCUUCCCUCUCUGAUCAUUCACACAGAUAGUAACACAGUGCUGGGUCAGAACGACACAGGCUUCAGCUGUGAUGGCUCAUCCAACACCUUCAGAGUCAUGUUCAAGGAGCCGGUGGAGAUCCUACCCAACGUCAACUACACAGCCUGCGCCACACUCAAGGGUCCUGACUCUCACUAUGGGACCAAGGGAAUGCGUAAGGUGACUCACGAGUCGUCCUCCACUGGCACCAAGACAUGCUUCACCUUCUGCUACGCUGCGGGCAACAACAACGGCACCUCAGUAGAAGACGGACAGAUUCCCGAAGUCAUCUUCUACACCUAGUCCUCACGAUCACUGGACUGCUGAGAGACUCUGGCCCUGUUUGAAUAUGUAACAAAUGCCCCCGUGGCCCUUAAUCUGAUUGUGGAAGCCACACGCCAGUGGUGAAGGAGGCAUCAAUAAUUGGAGCAUGGUUUUCUCUCAACUCCCACUGACCAUGGAGGGGUGUCAGCUUGUUUUACUUUGACAACCGUUUUGUCUGCUGAGAGAGAACUGGUCAGAACUAUUGACUAACUUGGGAAAGCUUGCCAUGUAUUUACAGAACCACCCCUUGUAUGGUCUGUCUGUAGCUAAAAGCAUGUGGGAGUGAGAUGCGUCCAGCUACGCCAAUGUACAUACUGUUACACUACCAAUUAGGAUCCAUCUGCUUGAUCAGUGACCCGCAUGUGACACUAACAAAACGGGAAAUAAUAGGUCUCCAUAUUCAAGAUUGUUAAAGUACAAGGUUUAAAAUGAGGAUAAGACUUCUCUAAACUUAUAUUAAAAUGUCUGCUCUUGAACAGGGCAGUCUUAAGUCGAGACCGAUUCACCAUUGCAAGAUGUUGGCAAUUAACAAUUUCAUCUUGAGAUGGGCUUAAAUGUUCUGGUCCUUGGAAAACAGCCCCAUCGAAGAGCCACCAUAGAUAUUAGGUACUUUACGGUAAAAGCAUCUUUAUUUCGCAGUGCCAUGCACACCUUGAGCAAGGGUGUAAAUAAUUAUGGACCAGUCAUUUUAAUGUACUGAAGCAUUACAGCUUCAGCCUGAGUAGGACAUGCAGACCCUGGGAAGAAGCACUCAUUUAAAGGCAAUCAGACUGAAUUGAUAGUGUGUAGAACACCACUGGUCUUGGACGUAUACAGGGAACUUUACAGAAAUAGUUACUGGCACAUUAAGGAUUGUAUAAAAUAAAAUUACCUUCAGUUGAACCAAAAUUACCAUUUAUAUACUUACAAUCCUCUGGCUGUCCUCAUCAACCCAUAAUCACUAGUUACCAGUUUCUUAAUUUCAAACCAUAAGCCAAUAACAACAUCCACGCCAUGUACAAUUUCUAUUCAUCUUUAUUAUUGACAUUUCCCAUCCUUGGAUUCAUGUCACCAGGUUUCCAUUUAGGCAAGCGCUACUGCGCAGUGCACUGUACAGUCCCAUCCCUCACUCGUACAAUGGAGGAAUAGAAGGGGGGG